rnacentral:rRNA from 1 species
UACGUAGGGAGCAAGCGUUGUCCGGAAUCAUUGGGCGUAAAGCGCGCGUAGGCGGCCCCGUAAGUCCGCUGUGAAAGUCAAAGGCUCAACCUUUGAAAGCCGGUGGAUACUGUGGGGCUAGAGUCCGGAAGAGGCGAGUGGAAUUCCUGGGUGUAGCGGUGGAAUGCGCAGAUAUCAGGAGGAACACCAAUAGCGAAGGCAGCUCGCUGGGACGGUACUGACGCUAAGGCGCGAAAGCGUGGGGAGCGAACAGG